rnacentral:rRNA from 1 species
UACGUAGGGUGCAAGCGUUGUCCGGAAUUAUUGGGCGUAAAGAGCUCGUAGGCGGUCUGUUGCGUCGGCUGUGAAAACCCGGGGCUCAACCCCGGGCCUGCAGCCGAUACGGGCAGACUAGAGUUCGGCAGGGGAGACUGGAAUUCCCGGUGUAGCGGUGAAAUGCGCAGAUAUCGGGAGGAACACCGGUGGCGAAGGCGGUUCUCUGGGCCUUACCUGACGCUGAGGAGCGAAAGCGUGGGGAGCGAACAGG